AUAAUAACAAACAAUAUUUGUCUUUGGAGUGUUUAAUGUAAGUAAAUGAUU
rnacentral:guide_RNA from 1 species